GUGGAACAAUCGCUGGCUGCAAACGAUUAAGCAAGGGGGUGGUUAAAGCUGAUGCCCAAGUGAGCAGCUUAGUGAUUGGACCCCUGUGCAAGCUGUGUUGUGUGCAAGACUUGGCAUGAUGGGGUUGAAGGCAGAAGAGCCAGACUACCAGAAGCAAUUUGAAGCAGCUGUCCGUGUCAUCCAGAGUUUGCCCAAGAAUGGUUCCUACCGCCCAUCGUAUGAAGAAAUGCUACGCUUUUACAGUUACUACAAGCAAGCAGUGGUGGGCCAGUGUCAGACUCCCAGGCCAGGGUUUUGGGAUCCCAUUGGCAGGUAUAAAUGGGAUGCAUGGAAUAGCUUGGGAAAGAUGACCAAAAAGGAAGCCAUGGCUGCUUAUAUUGCAGAGAUGAAGAAGGCAGCCCAGAAGGUCAUCAACACCGUGCCCAUGGAUGAAUCCUCGGAGGACAUGUUUGUAUACUUCAAACCACUCUAUGAAGUGAUUCCUGAUAUGCCCAGACCCCCUGAGUCCUUCUUCAAGAAUAAAACAGGUAUGCCCAUCAGCAGCAAAGAGCCAGUCCACAACAUUACUGAGAACAGCCAAAUGACUGGUGAUACAGAGAGUGAGAUAUUCUGUGAUAGCCUGGAACAGGUGGCUCCUGAUCAGGCCAGGAGGGUAUCAGCCAAGCAAAUCGUUCCUCUGAGCAAACCUCACAGCAUUCAGGCUGGUGAGCAAAGUGGGCACAAGCCUUCAGUUCAUGCACUGUGUACAGCCAGGGAAGGAGAGCUGAACAAAGCUGGUACCACAGAUGUGAGACAGGCAUUGUGCCUUAAAAAACUGAGCUCCACAAGAGAAGAGACAGACCCACAGACUAGCCCCGAUGAGACAGUUCUGAGCACCAACAGUCCUGAAGCUGUCAGUGAGAACCUGGCAGAUGUCUUGAUCCAACAGGAAGUGAAUCUGCAGGUGACAAGCACCAUUCAGGCUUUGCAGCAGGAUGUGAAGGAAGUGAUGGAGAGACUCAGCUACCUGGAAUCAUGGGCAGCCUUGCAGCAUUCAGCAGCUGUUUUUCUUCAUGCUGGCCAAGCCCUUGGUUUCUACCAGCAUCCCAACAGAGACUCCAAUCACCAGCCAAAGCAACCCAGCUGCCGGGGCUAACGAGAAUGGAGGACACACAGAACCGCCUUUCCCAGCAGCAAGUCCAGCCCAUCGUAUUUUGCCACCUCCAGCAAGGCAGGAGUGCCGCUGCUGCUGCCGCCACUGCCCACGUGCUCAGUUCCCAGCUUGCCUGCUCACCUGUCCAGCUGACUGGCUGCUCACCCCUGCCUGUGCCCCAGCUGCAGGGCUCCUGCACCUGGGGCAGCCAACCUCUCACUUGCCUCAUGGCACUUGGGCAGAGCUUGCAGAAGCUCCUGCAAAUGUUAGGCAAGUGCACAGUCCAGUGCAAAGGGCAAGUGAAGCCUAGCCAUCUGCUCCUUGCACGAGCUCCCAUAAGCAUCAGUUCUGCAAGGGCUGGAUGAGUGUACCCCCCACCACCACCCAGAAAUCCCCACAUCCUUGCCAAGGAGCCAGUGGGUGAGGAGGUAGCACUGGGGAGUGGAAGCCUGGAACAGAGGGAACCCAAGCCUCUGCUAGUCAGAUAGGUGACCUCUGUGAGCUGAAAUUGUCCACAGCCAUGAUUAUAUAAAAAAGGGUUUCACCAGUUUGUAGGAGGAGAACAAGAAAGCAGGUAAAGCAGUGUUUUGAUAGCUGGCACAUACUUUUCUCCUAGAUUCUGGGUGAAGGCACACUUUACCCCAUAAUAGAUCAAGGAUGAACUAUUUCUGGGCUUGCAGAUGUUUUGGCUUAUAAUUCUCAUGAUCCCUCACCAUUGGCUAUGCUGGGAAGGGUUGGUGGAGUUUCUCCUCCCCUCCCAGCCAAGCCACCUGGAGGAUCACAGGUUGCCCUGCCCAGCUCUAUAAGCACUAAGGAAAAGGUGUGAGAAGGGGCAGGAGGACAUUAAGAAGUUUUUUUUUUUUUUAAUAAGCAAGUGCAAAACAAGACUAGUGGAAAAAUAGAAACAAAAUUAAAUAGUGCACUUAGUGAAUAGGUUGACAAUCUCACAAGAUGACCUUUUAACAAGGAUAAUAAACCUGUGUUGGGGAGAAAGGUGUGUAUUUGAUUAGUGUUGAGUUGUAAAUCUUUGAGCAAACAACCAAGAAUGCAAUUCUUACAUAUUUAAAAUGUUUACAUAAUUCAAUAAUAUGCAUCUUCAAAAGAGCUUUUUAAAAUAAAGUACAAGAUGGAAUAGUGCACAGGCUUCUAGCCUGCAUAAAUACUUAUCAUGAUGCUGCUGUCUUUCAGGACCAUAGAGAAAUGCUGAAUCCUAGCCCACUGACCAUACUGCAUGAUGGAAAGGAACUGCCCAGAUGGCCUGUACACCUGUCUCCUCCUACCUGGUUUUUCUUGCUCACAUGGCCUUUCAUUGCCCAGUUGCUCCUUUGGUGUUUUCAG